GCAGAACGCGAAGAACCUUACCAAGGCUUGACAUGGAUUUCUAAGCACGUGAAAGCGUGUGACCCUUCGGGGAACUUCCACAGGUGCUGCAUGGCCGUCGUCAGCUCGUGUCGUGAGAUGUUGGGGUUAAGUCCCGCAACGAGCGCAACCCUUGUGAUUAGUUGCCAGCGGGUAAUGCCGGGAACUCUAAUCAGACUGCCCAGAUCAACUGGGAGGAAGGUGGGGACGACGUCAGGUCAGUAUGGCCCUUACGCCUUGGGCUGCACACGUACUACAAUGCCCAGUACAAUGAGAACCGAGACCGCGAGGUGGAGGAAAUCUAUAAAACUGGGCCCAGUUCGGAUUGGAGGCUGCAACUCGCCUCCAUGAAGUUGGAAUCGCUAGUAAUGGCACAUCAGCUACGGUGCCGUGAAUACGUUCCCGGGUCUUGUACACACCG
rnacentral:rRNA from 1 species